GGUUCCACAUGCGGCAUCUUGAAUCGAGUUGGGAUCAGUUCGUCCAAAACAUAUUGAGAGAGAGAUUGGGCGGUAUGAAAAUCAAAAUCGUUUAAAGAUUUCUGACCAUCCACCUGGAGUUGGGCGAGUCGAUGGUCGAUUUUUUCGAACUUACGUUCAUAGUCUUUGAGCUGAUGGUGGUGAAAAACUCCAGGGGUUGAACCUUUCGAUGAGU
rnacentral:lncRNA from 1 species